rnacentral:rRNA from 1 species
AAAGAUGGCCUCGCGUCUGAUUAGAUAGUUGGUGAGGUAACGGCCCACCAAGUCGACGAUCAGUAGCCGGACUGAGAGGUUGAACGGCCACAUUGGGACUGAGACACGGCCCAGACUCCUACGGGAGGCAGCAGUGGGGAAUAUUGCGCAAUGGGGGCAACCCUGACGCAGCAACGCCGCGUGCAGGAAGAAGGUCUUCGGAUUGUAAACUGUUGUCGCAAGGGAAGAAGACAGUGACGGUACCUUGUGAGAAAGUCACGGCUAACUACGUGCCAGCAGCCGCGGUAAUACGUAGGUGACAAGCGUUGUCCGGAUUUACUGGGUGUAAAGGGCGCGUAGGCGGACUGUCAAGUCAGUCGUGAAAUACCGGGGCUUAACCCCGGGGCUGCGAUUGAAACUGACAGCCUUGAGUAUCGGAGAGGAAAGCGGAAUUCCUAGUGUAGCGGUGAAAUGCGUAGAUAUUAGGAGGAACACCAGUGGCGAAGGCGGCUUUCUGGACGACAACUGACGCUGAGGCGCGAAAGUGUGGGGAGCAAACAGGAUUAGAUACCCUGGUAGUCCACACCGUAAACGAUGGAUACUAGGUGUAGGAGGUAUCGACCCCUUCUGUGCCGCAGUUAACACAAUAAGUAUCCCACCUGGGGAGUACGACCGCAAGGUUGAAACUCAAAGGAAUUGACGGGGGCCCGCACAAGCAGUGGAGUAUGUGGUUUAAUUCGAAGCAACGCGAAGAACCUUACCUGGGCUUGACAUCCCUGGAAUCGAGUAGAGAUACUUGAGUGCCUUCGGGAAUCAGGUGACAGGUGGUGCAUGGUUGUCGUCAGCUCGUGUCGUGAGAUGUUGGGUUAAGUC